rnacentral:rRNA from 1 species
AAGUCAGAGGUGAAAUCCCGGGGCUCAACUGUGGAACUGCCUUUGAUACUGGUUAACUUGAGUUCGGGAGAGGUGAGUGGAAUUCCCAGUGUAGAGGUGAAAUUCAUAGAUAUUAGGAAGAACACCAGUGGCGAAGGCAGCUUACUGGACCAAUACUGACGCUGAGGGACGAAAGCGUGGGGAGCAAACAGGAUUAGAUACCCUGGUAGUCCACGCCGUAAACGAUGAUAUGCUAGAUGUUGGGGGGAUUGACCCUUUGGUGGCGAAGCUAACGCAUUAAGUUAUCCGCCUGGGGAGUACGGCCGCAAGGUUAAAACUCAAAGGAAU